UGGGGAAUUUUGCACAAUGGGGGAAACCCUGAUGCAGCGACGCCGCGUGAUUUAGAAGGCCUUCGGGUUGUAAAAAUCUUUUCUAUGGGAAGAAAAUGACAGUACCAUAGGAAUAAGGACCGGCUAAUUACGUGCCAGCAGCCGCGGUAAUACGUAAGGUCCGAGCGUUGUCCGGAAUCAUUGGGCGUAAAGGGUACGUAGGCGGGUAAGCAAGUUAGAAGUGAAAUCCUAUAGCUCAACUAUAGUAAGCUUUUAAAACUGCUCAUCUUGAGGUAUGGAAGGGAAAGUGGAAUUCCUAGUGUAGCGGUGAAAUGCGCAGAUAUUAGGAGGAGUACCGGUGGCGAAGACGACUUUCUGGCCAUAACCUGACGCUGAGGUACGAGAGCGUGGGUAGCAAACAGG
rnacentral:rRNA from 1 species